rnacentral:rRNA from 1 species
UACAGAGGUCUCAAGCGUUGUUCGGAUUCAUUGGGCGUAAAGGGUGCGUAGGUGGCGCCGUAAGUCAGGUGUGAAAUUUCGGAGCUCAACUCCGAAACUGCAUUUGAUACUGCGGUGCUUGAGGACUGGAGAGGAGACUGGAAUUCACGGUGUAGCAGUGAAAUGCGUAGAUAUCGUGAGGAAGACCAGUGGCGAAGGCGGGUCUCGUGGACAGUUCCUGACACUGAGGCACGAGGCCAGGGGAGCAAACGGG